rnacentral:rRNA from 1 species
CACACCGCCCGUCACAUCACGAAAGUGGGCUGUACUAGAAGCCGGUAGGCUAACCGCAAGGAAGCAGCCGUCCAAGGUAUAACUCAUGAUUGGGGUG